rnacentral:rRNA from 1 species
UGAGGAAUAUUGGUCAAUGGGAGGAAUCCUGAACCAGCCAUGCCGCGUGCAGGACGACGGCUCUACGAGUUGUAAACUGCUUUUGUACCGGGGUAAAAUGCUCUACGUGUAGAGUUUUGAAAGUACGGUACGAAUAAGGAUCGGCUAACUCCGUGCCAGCAGCCGCGGUAAUACGGAGGAUCCGAGCGUUAUCCGGAUUCAUUGGGUUUAAAGGGUGCGUAGGUUGUUUUAUAAGUUAGCGGUGAAAUACCGAUGCUCAACAUCGGGGCUGCCGCUAAUACUGUAGGACUAGAGAUCGGAUGCAGCAGGCGGAAUGUGUAGUGUAGCGGUGAAAUGCAUAGAUAUUGCGCAGAACUCCGAUUGCGAAGGCAGCGUACUGGCGCCUGACUGACGCUGAGGCACGAAAGCGUGGGGAUCGAACAGGAUUAGAUACCC